rnacentral:rRNA from 1 species
CGCAAGCCUGAACGAGCGAUGCCGCGUGAGUGAAGAAGGCCUUCGGGUCGUAAAGCUCUGUUGCGGGGGAAAAAAGGCAGCAUCAGGAAAUGGGUGCUGACUGAUGGUGCCCCGCCAGAAAGUCACGGCUAACUACGUGCC